UACGUAGGGUGCAAGCGUUGUCCGGAAUUAUUGGGCGUAAAGAGCUCGUAGGCGGUCUGUCGCGUCUGCUGUGAAAACUCGGGGCUUAACCCCGGGCCUGCAGUGGGUACGGGCAGACUAGAGUGCGGUAGGGGAGACUGGAAUUCCUGGUGUAGCGGUGAAAUGCGCAGAUAUCUGGGGGAAGGCCGGCGGCGAAGGCGCCAUUCUGGGAAAUUCCUGACACUGAGGCACGAAAGCGUGGGGAGCAAACAGG
rnacentral:rRNA from 1 species